rnacentral:rRNA from 1 species
GAUGAACGCUGGCGGCGUGCCUAAUACAUGCAAGUCGAGCGAACAGAUAAGGAGCUUGCUCCUUUGACGUUAGCGACGGACGGGUGAGUAACACGUGGGUAACCUACCUAUAAGACUGGAAUAACUCCGGGAAACCGGGGCUAACGCCGGAUAACAUUUAGAACCGCAUGGUUCUAAAGUGCAAGAUGGUUUUACUAUCCCUUAUAGAUGGACCCGCGCCGUAUUAGUUAGUUGGUAAGGUAACGGCUUACCAAGGCAACGAUACGUAGCCGACCUGAGAGGGUGACCGGCCACACUGGAACUGAGACACGGUCCAGACUCCUACGGGAGGCAGCAGUAGGGAAUCUUGCGCAAUGGGCGAAAGCCUGACGGAGCAACGCCGCGUGAGGGAUGAAGGUCUUCGGAUCGUAAAACUCUUUUAUUAGGGAAGAACAAAUGUGUAAGUAACUCUGCACGUCUUGACGGUACCUAAUCAGAAAGCCACGGCUAACUACGUG